CUGCAAGUCGAACGGUAACGCGGGGCAACCUGGCGACGAGUGGCGAACGGGUGAGUAAUACAUCGGAACGUGCCCAGUAGUGGGGGAUAGCCCGGCGAAAGCCGGAUUAAUACCGCAUACGACCUACGGGUGAAAGCGGGGGACCGCAAGGCCUCGCGCUAUUGGAGCGGCCGAUGUCAGAUUAGGUAGUUGGUGGGGUAAAGGCCUACCAAGCCUACGAUCUGUAGCUGGUCUGAGAGGACGACCAGCCACACUGGGACUGGGACACGGCCCAGACUCCUACGGGAGGCAGCAGUGGGGAAUUUUGGACAAUGGGCGCAAGCCUGAUCCAGCCAUGCCGCGUGCGGGAAGAAGGCCUUCGGGUUGUAAACCGCUUUUGUCAGGGAAGAAACGCUCUGGGCUAAUAUCCCUGGGGUAA
rnacentral:rRNA from 1 species